rnacentral:rRNA from 1 species
UACGGGGGGGGCAAGCGUUGUUCGGAUUUACUGGGCGUAAAGGGCGCGUAGGCGGCGUGACAAGUCACUUGUGAAAUCUCCGGGCUUAACUCGGAACUGCCAAGUGAUACUGUCGUGCUAGAGUGCAGAAGGGGCAAUCGGAAUUCUUGGUGUAGCGGUGAAAUGCGUAGAUAUCAAGAGGAACACCUGAGGUGAAGACGGGUUGCUGGGCUGACACUGACGCUGAGGCGCGAAAGCUAGGGGAGCAAACGGG